rnacentral:lncRNA from 1 species
AUAAAAGAAAGAUUAAAAUGAAUCAAACAGCUAAAGAACUUGGAUAGAACUAGGGGGAUGUUAAAUAAUAGAAAAGCCAAUGAUGAUCAAUUAAUUUAUCUACUGUGAAAUACUAGAAUAAAUAAUUAGAAACAAAUUGGGAAAGAAGAAAAAUUCAGAUGCAAGAAAUAUACAUAUAAAAAAAAAAUAAAAAAAAAAUAUAUAAUGAUGAUGAUAAAAUAAAUAACUAAAUAAAUAAAGAUAAAAUAAUAAUAUAAAUAUAAAUCACUACUGAAUAUAACUUUUGGGAAAAUUUAAGGUGUGGACCAAUCUACUUGAGAGGCUAGUAAUAGCGAAAGGAAUAGUAAUGAUGGAGAUUAGAAUAUUCUUGGUUUAAGAGGAUCAUUUAGGGAUGAAAUAUGUAACAUUAGACUGGAACUAGAUGAUUUCAGGAUUGUCCUCGUGGAGAUAGACAAUUCAUUUUUGUUAAAUACCAAAAGGUUGUAGAAAAUACAAUGAGUAUUGAUUUUCAAACUUCAUGAAAAUAUUUUUAUACCACGAUUGAGAUUGGUUUAAAAUAAAAGUAAAUGCAAAUUUCUAUUAAAAGAAUUUCAAGGUUUUGUAUGAGUGACAUACCGAUGUUUUUAAAAGUGGAAAAGGAAAAUUAUUUUAAAAGUUUUUAAAUAGUCAGUUACCCAUAGGAUGGUCAACCUAGGCUGUAGUUGUCAACUCAUUAGUCGAAUUUUGAAUAAACAAUUAAUCUAAUAAUUUAUAACGGUGAAACAAUGUAUAGUGGAAAUAUGAAUAAAUGAGGACUCUUAAGUUACUCAAAAAUCUUUAGUAGACACAUUUGAUGAAAUGCCUGAUAUGAGAUAAUUAGUGUUGUAGACUAUUAUUAUAAAUGAACUCAUUAAAAUGGAAAUUUUCUCAAGAAUAAGAAAUACAAAUCAAGAAAACUUAGAAAUAGAUACAUUUAGAAUUGAAAGUUUUAGUACUAUACCUUUUUAACUGUAGUAAAUUGUGACAAAUCAGAACUAAAGAGAUUUGAUGUGAAAAUUUAAAUUUUCUGGUAAUUUAUGAGAUCAUAAGAAAAGUAUUUAACUCUAGAGGAUAUUUUGGAGUUCAAUGGAAAUAUGUGGCAAUUAAUUUCUUCAGGCUUUUCAAUAAGUAUAACAAUUAAUAAAUUUAAAUCCUUACAGAAAAGAGAAUAAAAGAAGCUAGUGAAGUGAAUCGUAAGGUAAUGGAUAAAAAUUUUGACAUGUCAGCGAAAGGAGGAAGGACCAGAACUCAGUCGAGGUCUAGAUAAUAAUACCAGGUGGCAGUGUGCUAACCUGAGAAACUAGAAAUGAUAAGGUUACAUGGAUAAAUUUAAGGAAAUCAUAAAUACCUUGCUAGACAUAAAUAAGUAAGGAUGAGAUAAAUAAAUUGAUACUAUAUUUUAAAACUUGGAUGGAAAAAUUUAACGAUUAGCUUAAGUAUUAUAAGGGCUAAUUAGGGCCUUGCUAUCAUUUCAUAAUUAAGGCAUAAAUUGAACUUUCAUAUGGAAACGAAUAAAUUAUUUAGUUGACGCAGAGUUGGGUGAAAGAAAUUGAGUUAUUGAUGUUUUCUUAAUUGGUGUGAUGUCGAAAUUGUAAGAAAGCGUUAGAUCGGGACUUAAGAAAAUAAUAAAGAUUAGAUUGAAACAAUAGUAAUCGAAUAAGUCGUGAAAAAAAAAAAAAAGAAAUUAUUUAGUUGACAUAGAAUUUGACGCCUAUUUAUUUGAUGUACCAUUUGGAUGGUAAGGUAACAUAAAGUUGGAACAUAAGAAAUUUCAUUUAAGACUUUUAUAUAUUGAUAGGUAUUAGGUAAAAUGUAAAUAGUUGGGGUAAGUAAUAAAUGUUAGGAUGAAAUAUUGUUAAUGAGAUAAAUUACUAUUAAUGAUUAAUAGUAGAUGGAAUAAUUAAAAAGUAUGCUUCAAUAUUCUUGGGAAGAAUUA